UACGGAGGGUGCAAGCGUUAUCCGGAAUCACUGGGUUUAAAGGGUGCGUAGGCGGUCUAAUAAGUCAGUCGUGAAAUCGCUGGGCUCAACCCAUGCAAUUGCGAUUGAUACUGUUAGACUUGAAUGGGGUUGAGGCUAGCGGAAUGCGACAUGUAGCGGUGAAAUGCUUAGAUAUGUCGCAGAACACCGAUUGCGAAGGCAGCUAGCUGGGCCUAAAUUGACGCUGAGGUGCGAAAGCGUGGGGAGCAAACAGG
rnacentral:misc_RNA from 1 species